rnacentral:rRNA from 1 species
UACGUAGGGGGCAAGCGUUGUCCGGAUUUAUUGGGCGUAAAGAGCGUGUAGGCGGCCAGAUAGGUCCGUUGUGAAAACUGGAGGCUUAACCUCCAGCUGUCGAUGGAAACCAUCUGGCUAGAGUCCGGAAGAGGAGAGUGGAAUUCCUGGUGUAGCGGUGAAAUGCGCAGAUAUCAGGAGGAACACCCGUAGCGAAGGCGGCACUCUGGGCCGAUACUGACACUGAGGAGCGAAAGCGUGGGGAGCGAACAGG